GUGCUCACUUCAGCAUCACAUAUACUAAAAUUGGGAUGAUACAGAGAAGAUUAGCAUGGCCCCUGUGCAAGAAAGAAACAUAAAUUUAUGAAGCGUUUCAUAUUUUU